CGGUAGGAUAGCUCAGUUGGGAGAGCGUCAGACUGAAGAUCUGAAGGUCACGUGUUCGAUCCACGUUCACCGCAUCACAAUUUUCCUCUCUUCACACUUCGUGCCGAGUUCCAAGGAGCUACUCGUGGUGCUGG
rnacentral:sRNA from 1 species